GAUGAACGCUGGCGGCGUGCCUAAUACAUGCAAGUCGAGCGAACGGACGAGAAGCUUGCUUUUCUGAUGUUAGCGGCGGACGGGUGAGUAACACGUGGAUAACCUACCUAUAAGACUGGGAUAACUUCGGGAAACCGGAGGUAAUACCGGACAAUUUUUUGAACCGCAUGGUUCAAAAGUGAAAGACGGGCUUGCUGCCCCUUAUAGAUGGAUCCGCGCUGCAUUAGCUAGUUGGUAAGGUAACGGCUUACCAGGGCAACGAAGCAUAGCCGACCUGAGAGGGUGAUCGGCCACACUGGAACUGAGGCACGGUCCAGACUCCUACGGGAGGCCGCAGUAGGGAAUCUUCCGCGAUGGGCGAAAGCCUGACGGAGCAACGCCGCGUGAGUGAUGAAGGUCUUCGGAUCGUAAAACUCUGUUAUUAGGGAAGAACAUAUGUGUAAGUAACUGUGCACAUCUUGACGGUACCUAAUCAGAAAGCCACGGCUAACUACGUG
rnacentral:rRNA from 1 species